rnacentral:rRNA from 1 species
UUGCGGGCUGGAUCACCUCCUUU